rnacentral:rRNA from 1 species
UUGAACGCUGGCGGCAUGCCUUACACAUGCAAGUCGAACGGCAGCACGGGAGCAAUCCUGGUGGCGAGUGGCGAACGGGUGAGUAAUAUAUCGGAACGUGCCCAGUAGUGGGGGAUAGCCCGGCGAAAGCCGGAUUAAUGCCGCAUGAGACCUGAGGGUGAAAGCGGGGGAUCGCAAGACCUCGCGCUAUUGGAGCGGCCGAUAUCAGAUUAGCUAGUUGGUGGGGUAAAGGCCUACCAAGGCAACGAUCUGUAGUUGGUCUGAGAGGACGACCAGCCACACUGGGACUGAGACACGGCCCAGACUCCUACGGGAGGCAGCAGUGGGGAAUUUUUGGACAAUGGGCGCAAGCCUGAUCCAGCAAUGCCGCGUGC